rnacentral:rRNA from 1 species
GCAUAUCAAUAAGCGGAGGAAAAGAAACCAACAGGGAUUGCCUCAGUAACGGCGAGUGAAGCGGCAACAGCUCAAAUUUGAAAUCUGGCCUCUUCGGGGUCCGAGUUGUAAUUUGUAGAGGAUGUUUCGGGUACCGCCUCGGUCUAAAUUUCUUGGAACAGAAUGUCAGAGAGGGUGAGAAUCCCGUCUUGGACCGGCGGUAGGGCCCAUGUGAAACUCCUUCGACGAGUCGAGUUGUUUGGGAAUGCAGCUCAAAAUGGGUGGUAAAUUUCAUCUAAAGCUAAAUAUUGGCCAGAGACCGAUAGCGCACAAGUAGAGUGAUCGAAAGAUGAAAAGAACUUUGAAAAGAGAGUUAAACAGUAUGUGAAAUUGUUGAAAGGGAAGCGCUUGCAACCAGACUUGAGCGCGGCGGUUCCCCCUUCCUUCUGGUUGGGUUACUCCGCCGUGUCCAGGCCAACAUCGGUUCUGGGGGUCGGUUAAAGGCUUGGGGAAUGUAUCUACUCCUUCGGGGGUAGACUUAUAGCCCCAGGUGUCAUGCGACCUCCCGGGACCGAGGAACGCGCUUCGGCUCGGAUGUUGGCGUAAUGGUUGUCAGCGACCCGUCUUGAAACACGGACCAAGGAGUCUAACAUCUAUGCGAGUGUUUGGGUGUCAAACCCGGAACGCGGAAUGAAAGUGAACGGAGGUAGGAAGCCUUUAGGCUGCACUAUCGACCGAUCCUGAUGUCUUCGGAUGGAUUUGAGUAAGAGCAUAGCUGUUGGGACCCGAAAGAUGGUGAACUAUGCCUGAAUAGGGUGAAGCCAGAGGAAACUCUGGUGGAGGCUCGCAGCGGUUCUGACGUGCAAAUCGAUCGUCAAAUUUGGGUAUAGGGGCGAAAGACUAAUCGAACCAUCUGGUAGCUGGUUCCUGCCGAAGU